UGCCUGCCUCAGCCUCCCAAAGUGCUGAGAUUACAGGUGUGAGCCACCAUGCCAGUCCUGAAUUUUCACUUUUCAUUUGCAAAAUUGUCAGUCACUUUUUGAAACUUGAGGAAGGAAGGAAUCAAGAAAAUGAAGUGAAUGAUAAGGCUAUUUAGACUGUUUAUAUUUGUCUUAGAGUCCCAUUUUUGUCUUGUAUUCUUUCUUCUCUCUAAUGGCUGGGUUUUUCAACAAUAAUACAGGGAAGCAUAAAAGUUAGCAAAUGAGGGCUACCCUAGAGGACAAUUUUGAUUGGGUUUCAUGUUGGUCUACCUAAAUGAAUCAACAGUUUUAACAGGGUGGCAUUUAAUUAUAUUUGUUUACAGAAGUAUUUUUAUAUUUGAAUUUCAUUCAUAACAGUGUUUUUCAUGGUCAAAGACUGGGAGAGAUGCGGGAAUAAUAUUUGAAGACAAUAAGGGUGUUCCCCACCUCUGUAUUCUUAUUCUCUGACCUAGAAACACUACAGACAUUCUUUAACUGAACCUAUAAGGGGCUGAGUACCAACAACAUAAGUCAGAAAAAGGUUUGCAUUGACCCCUUUGGAGUCUAAAUAUUGUAAUAAAUGUUAUUAGUUCUGAAAUGUCCUAUCUUUUUGAUUUCCCAAAUGACUGCAGAAAUGCUUUGAUCUUUUUUGUUCUAUGAUAUUGUAGAGAUACCUCAUUAAUGAUGUUUUUAAUAUUUUUCUUUUCACAAAUACUUGACCUGGGCUAUAAUGCUGUAUUUAUUGUAAGUUUCAUGCAAAGCAAUCCAGUUGUUCUGAUUCUUAGACUUUUCCAGUGGGAUCUAAGAAAUCAAAUUAGAAGUAACUCAUAAAAAAUGUUCUUCUCAUGCAGGCAAAUGUGAAGUCAACUUGUUUGUUUUUUUCUUAAUCAGCUGAAUAUCAUUUGUAUAUCUUUGAAGUAGUACUAUUACUUGGAAUAAAAAAAAAUUGUUCCUGCCACAUAAACACAUAUAAACAAAUCUUAUGACUUUCAUUGACAAGAUUGUAUUGUAUUACUUUCUUUAACUUCUACCUAUUUUUCUUCUUCCAAAACAGUUGUUUUCAGGAUUCUGGGUACUGAUAGGGAUUUUUAAAAGUAAGAGGCAGUUCUGAAUGCAUUAUGUCUUUUUUUGUAAAUUGAUAGAUAGGGAAAAUAUAAGUCAGCCUGGCAUGAAUAUAAUUUGAUUGGGUUAUAUUCAUGCCUAUAAUCCCAGAAUUACAAUUCCAGUGUAUAAUUCCUGCAAGUGAGGUGAGAGGAUCACUUGAGCCAAGAAGUUGGAGACAAGGUCUCACUCUAUCACCCAGGCUGGACUGCAGUGAGCCAUGUUUGUGCCACUGUACUCCAGCCUGGGUGACAAAGCAAGACCCUGUCUCCAAAAAAGAAAAAGAAAUGUAAUUCUCUUUCUUCUGGUCAGCAGCUCACAGGCUAGAGCACAUUGGAAACCUGUUAUAUUCUUCAUUUUUAUCCAUGACAUGGCUUCUUUUAGAAUAUGAACUAUUUGGAAUGAAGACAGGAAAAUUUAACAAAGCAGUGGGAAUAAAAAUGUUCACAACUUAAAAUAUAUGGCCUGUUUUUAAAUUUGAGAAUAUUUUCAGAAAAUUACUGAUUGAAACCUAUUGCUUUCAUUGAGGUGGUGUUACAACACAAUUGAUCUUUGAAAAAGUGAUGGCUUCACCAGGGAAAUACUAGACCUCUACCCCAGUGACUCCUGCUAAAGAUGGUCUUUGCCGUCACUGCCCUUUCUGACUCCUUUGUGUGUGCUCAGAUUGGCACACUGAUUAAUUUCAGAUACCAUCAGCAAAAAUGGAAUAUGCUGAACAAGCACUUACAAAGUAGUGGUUCUUUAUAGAACAGAGCUGUAGCCCUUCAGUAACAAAGAAUGAGUCCCAGGAAAUGAGUUAAUUUAACAAAUUGCUAGUUGCCUACCUGCCAUUGUACUGAGGAAUUAUAUAUGGAAGGUAUAUUUUAAUUAUAUAUUAAAAGGAACAUUUCCUUAAUUUCUUCUUUCUGUCUCCCAUCUUCCAGUGUCCUCUGGGAAGGCAGUAAAGGUGGGAGGGGCAUAUUAAAUAAAAUGUGUGACAGGUUCCUGAAUAAUUUUUACUGAUUUGUUGAGCUAGAUUAAGUGAGCUUAGAGUUGAAUCUUCAAAAGGAUCGUAUCCUUUUAUCAAGAGUUUAUAAUCUGGAUAUUUUCAUUUGAAGAGCAGUGAUAAUAUCAGGCUAAGAUUUACUGAAUUGCAUAAGUGGCUUUGCAGAAGACAAAAUGAAACAACUUCUAUAUAAUAAACUGGAAGAUUAACCUGCACAUCACUUAAACAAAUAAAUAACAAGCAACCAUAUAUUUUAAAAUGGAACAACAGCAAGAUAAACAAACAAAAGGGAUAGCUCAAAACCUCUAUUAAAAGGCAAGUUCUGGUUUCCCAAGGAUCAAGAAUUUUACGAUUUGAGAAAAAUACCUAAGUGUUACCUGCACUUCUGUACAACAAAUUUCAUUAUUUCAUACUUUAUUGUCACUACUGUCCUGAAAUUAAUGGAUCACAUUCAAGUAUUCCUUCUUGGAAAAAUAUCACUGCAAUGUAACAAUUCUCAAGUCAUAGUGCAAACAAGAUUAUAUUUAUCAUGUACAGGCAGGUUUUAUUGGUCCUGGUACAUUUAGCUCCCCCUACCCCCAUUCAUCUGCUGAUGGCCAAUAAAAGCUAUAGAAAGUCUCAUCAAUGAAAUUAGUAAUCUGUGGGGACAAACAUGCCGUUAGUGCCUGUCAUUUGAGAUUUGCGAUCAUUGACAUGCUUUUUAUGGCCUCUGAAAAUAUUGGUUUGACUUAAAAAAAUGCAGAGUUGUUUCUAUUGUUAGAUAUAUUUAUAAAAUUCUGAAUGGAAAAACACUCUUUGGUAGCCACUUGAAUUUUUAAAACUACAUUUAAUAAAAUAUAACUUGUAAGAAUAGCCAUCAGCACGGGAUAAGUAACAAUGUCUUUUAAGUAGCUUCUGCUAUACUUGACGAAAAGUGCUGAAGUGGCAAAAUGUUUGCUGUAGAGAUGUACAGUAGACAAUUUGUGAAGGAUAUUAGGUAUUUCUUCACUUUAAGAGGGGAUCUCCUCUUGAUCUACUCUUUAUUUCCUGUCCCAGUGUGAACAAGGUAAGAGUUGAUGAAUUAGAAUCAAGAUACUUGAAAUUAAGACUUAGAUGUAGCACUUUGUGAUCUGUAAAAAUCAUAUCAGAUCUUGUUUAAAUAUGAAAAUUUUUGAGUUUAGCCAAAAUCACCAGCAUCAUUUGUGUAUAUAAAGUUUAAUCCUAUCCUUGGAAUAAUAGAACUUCGAGGUUGGAAGAUAAAUCUUGAAUAGUUUGAAGUUAAACCCUACCUGGCGUUGCAGUGAGUCCUGUUGAAAAACAUUUUCUACAUGUCCUCAACAAGUCUUUCAUUUCUUUAGUUACAAGGAAUUGCCCAACCUACCAAGGCUUCCCCAUUUUAUCUUUGACUGACUCUACAAAAUUUUUUUUAAAAAAUCGUGGCCAUAUUUUAAGACACAGAGGGAGGGGAGACAGCCAGAUCUAAAGGAAAUUAAUCUACUUGAGAGGAAUUUACUUACAGAAAGAUGAUCUAGCUAAAUGAGAUAAACUGGACUGAUAAAAAUUAUCCAAACCCAGUUUUAGAUGCCUAUGGCAGGUUCACAAAAACUAAUUCUUUGUCUCUAAUGGAUCUGAGCUGACAGCAGUAUAUUAGAGACCAAGCGUCUGUGACUGUCGUGGAGAAGCCCCUCAGGGAUGAAAGAGUUACAGAGGAUUUUCAAAUGUUAAUUAUAUUUACAAACAGAUCAGAUGUAGGCAUAGAUAUAUUAGAAUAUUUUGUAUCUUCUCUCAUUUAUUUUUCUACUGCUAGAUAAAUGGGACUUACAAGUAUCUGAGUAGGCAAACAAGAAAGAAUGUACACAGUUUUAUUAAUUUAUCUGAGGCUGUGAUAAACUGUAGACCAAGUCAAAUGGAAUAGUUUUGGCAUGGGACUUGCUGUGCAUAUGAUGAUCAGUCAGCUUUUUUCUAAGUUAAACUUGAGAACUAAGAACUUUAAGAAGUGUAUGGGUAUAUAUAGGGUGUGUGUGUGUGUGUGUGUGUGUGUGUGUGUGUAUAAUUUUACAAGACUCUAGAAUUAUAAUAUGGCAUUUAUUUUAAGGAAUAUUUGACCAAGAAUUUCACUUGGCAAUGUUAACCUCUAAAUAUGACAAAUACUGCAGCUACUCAAAUUUUUUAAAUUCCUUUAUAAUAGUCCCUGAGACCUGAUGAUUGAGAUCAUAAAAAAGGAAUGGUGGUUUUCUUUCAGAAUUUUAAAUUUUCUCAAAUAAUAUUUCACCAAAUAUUAGCCACACUUGGAUACUUUGACUCCACUGGUCAUUAAAAUAUAUAGUCGAAAUUACUCCUAUGGAAUAGGGACUUCAAUAGAAAGAAAGCUUUAGAAAUGAGUCUUUCUUUUCAGUUAAAUUUUAUUUAAUUUUCAGAGUUAAUAUAAUUCAAAUUAUUUAGAAGUUUACCAGGUCCUAUUAUAAAACCAGUUUGUUUAUUUUUAAAAACUUCAUCUGAAUAUUCUAAAGAAGUAAAAAUAAAUCUAUUUGUAGAGAUUUAUUUCAAAACAAUACCUUUUAAAGAAAAAUAUGUUUUGUGCUGGGAUGCAAUCUUAUUCAUCACUUGAUAAAUGAUGCUUUUAAUUCAGAUAAUUAGAGUAAUUCAUAACCAAUUUUUAGAUAUAGCAGACUUGCCAUUCCAUUUCUAUAAAAUAAAAAUGCAUUGUAAUGUUUACAUUGAUUAGCAAUAAUAACAACACAGUAGUCGUAACAGCAUAUUACCUAAAAUCAGUGGUAAUAAUGUCCUACAAUGAUAAUAUUGUACAAACUUAAAAGUGAGAUUUUCUUUAAAAUCUUUUGUCGUACUCUUGAGAGAAAGAUAGAAGGGAAAAAACGUCACUAUAGAAAAUGCUUUUUCAUAACUGUUUCCAGAGCAAUUGAGGGUAGAAGGAAAGGAUAGUCAGAGAUUGUUUCAAAUUUAAUAUGAAAUAAACCAUUACCCUUAACUAUUCAGCAAUGGCACAGUUAUAUUUCAUGCCAGGUAUUUACAGUUAUAUUGAGUGGGUUUUUGUAUUUAAUGUUAUAAUCAUUCAACUUGGAAUUUCCUAUUAAAUACAAUACUAUAAAAAAGAUUUAGGUACAGUUUCCUGGUGUGUUUGAGGCUGUUCACUCUGCAAACAAAUAAAAAUACAUCUAAUUGGUUUGUGGCAUUUUGGGAUUUUUUUCAGAAGGAAUGUACUU